CUGGAUGGCUAGCAAGUCUCGGGGUCUUCCUGUCUCCAUCUGUGCUAUACACCAACACUUUGAUUUUGUGGAUGCUGGGGUUCCAAAUUUGAUCUGUCAUGCUUGCACAAAAAACACUUUGGCCAAUGGCCCUAACCCUGAGUGUCUCAAUCCCCUAAAUCUCUUUUAGCUUAUAGAUGUUAAUUCUUUGGCUUUAGUUGUCCUCAUUGUUUUCCAGACUUCCUGGGUAAGAUGUUGCCGUCCUGAGGAAGAUGGCCAAAUUCAAAAUAAGCAGAUCCACCAGACUUACGGGGAAUACAGGUGAGAGUACAGGAGUGGAGAUGACUCAAGGACAUUUACAUCACCAAAGGCCACUUCAUGAAUGACAGCUCAUGAAAGCUGGAACACAAUUCACAACUUGAAGGCAGCUCAACAGGGCCAGAUGAGGGAGCACCACCUGUAAUCAGCCCUGGAAUAAGAUGGAAACUGGAGGCAGGAGAAUCUGCCUGAAAACUAUGGGCCAGCCUCCUGCAGUAUUCUAUACAGCAGUGGAAACAGGAAGAGAGACUCAAAAGAGCAGGGAAGAUGGCAACCGGCUUCUGAAAGCUCUCUGACCUUCAUGUGCUUACACACAAGGUAAAUAAGUUUAAAAACAAACACUUAAAAUUUAAAUUUAAAACAAAAAUUUAGAAAUUGAAAAUCAAAAAGCAGUUGUAUUUUAUGUAAUAAACAUGCCAUUUUCAU